UGGGGAAUAUUGCACAAUGGGCGAAAGCCUGAUGCAGCGACGCCGCGUGAGGGAUGACGGCCUUCGGGUUGUAAACCUCUUUCAGUAGGGACGAAGCGCAAGUGACGGUACCUGCAGAAGAAGCACCGGCUAACUACGUGCCAGCAGCCGCGGUAAUACGUAGGGUGCGAGCGUUGUCCGGAAUUACUGGGCGUAAAGAGCUCGUAGGCGGUUUGUCACGUCGUCUGUGAAAUCCUAGGGCUUAACCCUGGACGUGCAGGCGAUACGGGCUGACUUGAGUACUACAGGGGAGACUGGAAUUUCUGGUGUAGCGGUGGAAUGCACAGAUAUCAGGAAGAACACCGAUGGCGAAGGCAGGUCUCUGGGGAGUAACUGACGCUGAGGAGCGAAAGCAUGGGUAGCGAACAGG
rnacentral:rRNA from 1 species